AAGGUAGCAUGGUAAGUUGCCCCUUAAUGGGGGGCUGGUACGAAAGGAUUUAUGAGUCCUCUACUGUCUCCGAAAUAUAGUGUAAAUUAGGCUUCAAGUGAAGACACUUGGAUGUGGCUAAAGGACAAGAAGACCCCGUUGAGCUUUAGUUUGAUAUUGCAUUUGGGCGGUAGUGAGCUUUGGCUGGGGCGGCAAAUGUCCAUCUAGAGCGACUAAAGAUUGUGAGACAUUUUGUCGGGCGGGGAGAUUGUGUAAACAAAGAAAGCUACCACGGGGGUAACAGGCUAAUCCACUUGGAGAGUACAUAUUGAUGAGUGGGUUUGGCACCUCGAUG
rnacentral:rRNA from 1 species